AUUGAACGCUGGCGGCAGGCCUAACACAUACAAGUCGAGCGGAUGAAGGGAGCUUGCUCCUGGAUUCAGCGGCGGACGGGUGAGUAAUGCCUAGGAAUCUGCCUGGUAGUGGGGGAUAACGUCCGGAAACGGGCGCUAAUACCGCAUACGUCCUGAGGGAGAAAGUGGGGGAUCUUCGGACCUCACGCUAUCAGAUGAGCCUAGGUCGGAUUAGCUAGUUGGUGGGGUAAAGGCCUACCAAGGCGACGAUCCGUAACUGGUCUGAGAGGAUGAUCAGUCACACUGGAACUGAGACACGGUCCAGACUCCUACGGGAGGCAGCAGUGGGGAAUAUUGGACAAUGGGCGAAAGCCUGAUCCAGCCAUGCCGCGUGUGUGAAGAGGGUCUUCGGAUUGUAAAGCACUUUAAGUUGGGAGGAAGGGCAGUAAGUUAAUACCUUGCUGUUUUGACGUUACCAACAGAAUAAGCACCGGCUAACUUCGUG
rnacentral:rRNA from 1 species